GGUUUCAUAGUGUAGUGGUUAUCAUGCCUGCUUUACAUGCAGAAGGUCCUGGGUUCAAUCCCCAGUGAAACCA
rnacentral:tRNA from 1 species